rnacentral:rRNA from 1 species
AAGUAGUAAUAGAUAUUGUCUUGAAACUUAAAAGAUUUGGCGGUAUUUUAUCUUAUCAGAGGAACCUGUAAAAUAAAUGAUGAUCCACGACUUAAUUUACUUUAUUUAAAGUACUUGUAUACCGCUGUCAUGGAUCUAUUAGAAAGUUAACUUUUUAAAUUAUAUAAAUUUUAUGUUAGGUCAAGGUGCAGUUUAAUAAGAAAACUAUGGGUUACAGUAAAAAUUAUGAAUGAAUUUAAAAUAGGAUUUGAUAGUAAUUUUAUUGAAGAAAUAGACUGAAUAAAGGUUCUAAAAUAUG